CUGGCAGUAAACGGUGCACGUUUAGUAUGGGAGGAUUCGACCCCUUCCGUGCUGGAGCUAACGCGUUAAACGUGCCGCCUGGGGAGUACGGUCGCAAGAUUAAAACUCAAAGAAAUUGACGGGGGCCCGCACAAGCGGUGGAGUAUGUGGCUUAAUUCGAUGCAACGCGAAGAACCUUACCUGGCCUUGACAUGCAUUUCUAAGUUGGUGAAAGCCAGCGAGUGUAGCAAUACACAACUUGCACAGGUGC
rnacentral:rRNA from 1 species